AUUGGCCGAUCCACAAGAGGGUCCUAAUUUGUUUGAGGACUGGCAGGUUUCUCUUGCCCUUGAGUGUAAAGAUGCAGAAAAUAGGGGCAUUCAUCCUCCUGUUGACGUAAGAGAUGAACGAACAUUCAUCCACCUGUCAACCAAAUAGUCCCAGCUUGCAACUUAUGUUGUGAGAUCGAUCCCGGAGGGAACCGUCGUCUAUAACGUUGAGCACCAUGUUGGGGACCGUGGAACCCUCGCUAGGGCGUCUGGUGAUUACGCUGUUGUUAUCAGCCACAACCCUGACAACAUACCUCCAGAAGAUUUGUGAAGUCGCUGUGAUUUCAUGUUGUUUCUGAAGAGAAGAGAAAGCUGCUGGGUUCAGUAAAACGGAACUGACUUUCUUGCCUUUUUAAUAAUUCUGGGAUUUGAUUUAGAUCUUUCUUAUUCCCCCAACUUUUUGUUUUGGGGUUUUGUUACAAAUUGCCCAUCUGGGGUAUUCUGUACAUUUCAAAAUCUGUGGGAAUUUUCCCUUUUUUCUUUUAUUUAUUUUUAUUGAUUCCACCCAAUUGGAUCUGAUGUUGCCGAACAAAUUGAUUAAUUUGGUUCAUUUGCUGUUAGGACAGUUGCAAUUUUAAGUAUCUUUUCGAUCUCUGCUUCACGAUCUUCUUGCCACCUCAUCCUGCACCCAAUUUCUCUAGCCUUCAAGAGCUUCAUAAAACUGGUCUCUAUUUCUAGAGUUCUGAUCCCUCCCCGGGGGGGGGGGGGGGGGGGGGGGGAAGGAGAUUUGGCCCUUUUUGCAUUCGAAUCCAUCUGGGAUUGACGAGAGUCAGAUUAAUUCUUAUCAAAUUGGUCGCACGGACCAUGAGGACGACAUCCUCCAAACCCUCUACAUAAGCAUCGAGUUGCAGUUUUUGUUAUCUCGGUUCAUAAAUCUCGGAUUUGGCAGGAAUUGGAAGGGCGCUGUUAUUUUUUGGAGCCAACGAUAUGUUGUUAACGAAGGCAAAAACAAGAUGCAGUUUGCUGCAUAUAGAAAACGGAGGGAUCUUAUUGAAGCAAGGAACAAGAAUUGAAUUAUUUUAUUGCAGAGCUCAGGAUAAACUUUGCUUCUUUACAACAGAAAAAUAUACGAAAUAAGAGUUGGAUAAGAUGGCUGCAGUAGAAUCUCUCAUUAGGAAAGAGAGGCUAGACUUGAAAUUGAGCGAUCAUGAAAUUCCCUCUUGGAUGUGCACAUGACAAGACUAGAUCAAACUAUAAGUCAAACUCCCAUUGCAGAGCAAACUAUGAGUCAAACCCCCAUUUCAGAAUAAGCUGGGAACGAGGAGGCACAAUAGGGCAUGGCUAUUUCCGGGGCAUCGGUCAUUUUGAGAUUCUGGUAACAUGUAUACAAGUUAGCUUAUUUUUAGACUGACGCAGGAAGACCAAGGGUCUCGAAAAAACGAGGGAUAGAUAACCUGGGAAUCACUCAUCCAGGGGCAACGGAGCUCAUUCACGUCGCUAAUCGUGGAUUCGCUCACAUGACCAAGCCAAAUGCUUGAUUUUAAAAUGAGAAAUCACUCCAAUUGCACAAAGCAAAAUAUAUUUUGAUUCAUUCCAAUCUCCAUUCUCAAGGGUUUAGUACAUAUAUUUAUAAGGAAUACAACACCAUGAAACUCUAGUCCGAAUUGGACUUUUGCUCUACCCUAAAAAUACUUAAAAUGUUCUUAAAUGACUACUUAACUAUUUGUGUUGCUCUAAAACUCAAUUAAAUAUAUUUGAUGGUUCCAAUAUGCAUGAGACUCUUGGUAGAUUCCAAUA